CAUUGGAAACAACAUGUUCAUGCGGGUAUUUUACAAACACAACAUUUAUGAUUUGCCCAAGGUUUAUCAUUCUCCUUGUCUUGUUUAUGUGUGCGUACUAUUAUUAGAGACUGAAAUAAAAAACACUCAAACAAGAAAAGUUGAUCAAAGAACAUUAAACCUCAUCAUUAUGCACUCGCAACCAAAAAUAAACAAUUCUAAGAUGCAAAGAAAAUAAGUUAAGAUGUUCUCCCUUGUAAUAUUUAAAGACUAAUUGUAAUAGGCCAUUUUAGCCUGGGCCCAAAUGCAUAAACCUGAAAAUAAAAAUACAAUAAAUUACAGACCCAAUUUUAAACCCAAUAACACCCCAACCCUAAGUAAACCCACUAGCCUAAAACACUAAACAGAAUCAAAGAACCCUAAGCAGUUAGCAGCAGCCGCCUUUGUCGUAGCAACCGUUCCACUGCCCACGUCGUUGCUCGCACGUUCAGCCCUUCACGCACGCACCUGCAAACUACGAAUAGCACUAAGAGGAUAUACACAGCAAAAAAAAUUGUAAAAAGGGGGGAAUUUCGGUUGUAUAAAGGGGGAAUGGAUUGAUGUAAAAAGGGGUUAGCAAAAUAUUGUAUUGAAAGAAAAGAAAUACGAGUAAAGAAUCAGAGGAGAAAAUUUUGGAAAGGUGAUCAGUUUUGUUUUUCUUUCCCCUGUUCUUUUUACUGUUUUUUUAUUUUAUUUUGGGGCUUUUCCUUUGAUUUUUAAAGCAAAAAUAAAAACGAAAGGGAAGGAAAAAGAGAGCUUACCGUUGAGUCGUCGUUGUGGCCGGUCGGAAAUGGGUCUGAAACGGUGGAAGGGAGAUGGCAACGGCGUGAUUUUAAAAUGGCAGAGGAGUUCUAUUUUUUUAGGGGUCUGAAAUGGGUUUUAUUGGCUACAAAUGAAAUGGGGUUUUAUUUAUGGGUUAUUUAUGUUUUUAAUCUUUUUUAUUUUUCCAUUAUUUCAAGAUCAUAGUCUUUAUUUUU
rnacentral:lncRNA from 1 species